AUUGUGCUGAUGACCCAUACCAAGUUUCGUAACAAUCCGUUGCUGCGUUCUUAAAAUACAGCAUUUUAGCACAAAAUUCAAUAUGGCUGACAGUCAAAAUGGCCGAGAUGGUAAAAUUGGAUAUCAGUCGACUCGGCAUGUUGCCCUGAAUCUAACAAGACCAAUUUUAUGAUUUUUGGACAAACUGUUUAGAAGUUAUGAGCAAAAAUAGCAAUUUUUCAUAUCUCCAGACCAGUAGGUGGCACUGGGCCGAAACGCAGCAAGUAGCCUCAGGUCAUGCUUGUUAUGACAUGUACCAGGUUUGGUCUGAAUACGAUAAAUCGUUGCAGAGAUACAGCCUUGCGACUGUUUUUGUAAGCGUUACGUAAAAUUUGUUUGAGCGUUUAUCGAAAACAGUUUGACGAAUCAAUUUGAUUUGCAUAACUUUUGGUCAGCACUGCCUGAAGAUAAUCUGGUUCAAUUUUCGUGUGAAUCGGACAAACCGUCUAGGACGAGUUCGAAAAAGUAGGUUUUUUAAAAAAUUCAAAAUGGCGGCCAUAUUUCUAUGACAGAAAAUGACGUCAUAGGAUGCAAUCGAAUCGGCAUGAGCUCAGAAAUCAGAGGAAAAAAGAUUUUUGUUGAUUGGCCUUAGGGUUAAAAAGUUAUUAACAAAAUAAAAGUGAAACUUUGGACAGUUGGUGGCGCUAGAGGCAAUGUAUUAGACCCACCAAAAUUGGUGUACUUAAUGUUGGCACUGUCCUCUAUCAGAAUGUCAAACCAUUACAACUUUCCCGCAUUUGGUUCUAUGGGCUGCCAUAGACUCCCAGUCGGAAGAAUAAUAAUAAUAAUAAUAAUAAUAAUAAUAAAUAUAGCUGCAAGCAGCAAUAACGGGGCCAAGCACUACAGAAGCAAGCUUCAGACGAACGGCAGGAAUGAGUAAUUAAGACAGUUUUAAGAUUAUUUUAGGCAAAAUGGCUUGAAAACAAUAAACACAACAACUAGUAAUAGGAUUUAUUGGCUUAUCACGUGUAACCAAUAGGUGGCGCUGUUACCAAAUUAGUUUGGAAUGGUCAGUGUGAGGUGACGAUGACACAUACAAAGUUUGGUGCAAAUAUGUCAAAGCUUUGCAGAGAUACAGCCUCAAAUGCAUUUUGGCACCCUUCCAGCAGUUUCGUUGAUGCGCUAAAUGAGAACCGCUUCGUAUAUCGAUACGAAAUCUAUAACAUUUUGCCAGGAUGGUCUGAAGAUGAUCCACGUCAAAUUUGGUGAAAAUCAGACAAACGGUCUAGGAGGAGUUCGAAAAAGUAGGUUUUCAACAUUCAUCAAAAUGGCGGACAGGAAGUUCAGCCAAAUAAAAAGAACUUUAUAUCUAUUUUCUCGGCGUGACCCAAGGAGUCUAAGAAGACCAGCAUCAUGUCAAUACCCAGAUUUAUUCAAAAGUUAUUAGCCUUUAUGUAAAUUGAGUUAUAACUUUUGACCACUAGGUGGCGCUGUUUCAAAAUAUUUUGAGUACCUUCAGGGGAUGGUGUUGUUGACACAUUCUGAGUUUCGUAAUAUUACACUAAUGCAUUUGUUUAGUAUAGCAUUUUAUUUCACAAAACUGUAUUGAAGUCAAUGAGAAUUUCAUGUUUUGUUCUAUUAUAGCGCCACCAAGAGGCUCAGUCCCACCAUUUUUUUUAUGUUUGCUCAGAGUGAGCCCAUACAUAUGUGUGUCAAUUUUGGUGAAAAUAUCUCAAUUCACUUCAGAGUUAUGGGCAUUUAUAUGAAAAAGCAUGUAAAAAUUGACUGACUCUUGACUUUGAUUGAAUAUUACUACCCCUUACUAUCAAUAUUUUGGCAUUUGGGCAUUGGCGUAUAGCUAUCGACCUAUGUUUCCGAACUUCUGACGGUGGUUUCGUCUCGAUCAGACAAGCGGUUUCAAAGAUAUAGCCAGAUGUUUUUUAAGCGCUAAAUCACAACGCUACACAAACCGUAAGGCAAAACCUAGCAUGUUUGGUAUUGUAGGACUCUGUAAGGUUUCAGGAGUCCAAUUUGAUGAGUCUGGUGAAAAUACGUCGACCACACCCAAAGUUAUAAGCAUUUAAAAAUAGAAGAUCACCACUAGGUGGCGCUGUUUCGAAACUUCUCAUACUCCUUCAGGACAUUGUGCUGAUGACCCAUACCAUGUUUCGUAACAAUCCGUUGAUGUGUUCAGAAAAUACAGCAUUUUAGCACAAAAUUCAAAAUGGCCGACAGUCAAAAUGGCCAAAAUGGUCAAAUUGGAUAUCAGUCGACUCGGCAUGUUGCCCUGAAUCUAACAAGACCAAUGUUAUGAUUUUUGGACAAACUGUUCAGAAGUUAUAAGCAAAAAUAGCAGUUUUUCAUAUCUCCGGAUCAGUAGGUGGCGCUGCACCCAAUCACAGCAUGUUGCCUCAGGUCAUGCUUGUUAUGACAUGUACCAAGUUUGGUCUGAAUAGGAUAAGUCGUUGCCGAGAUACAGCCUUACAACUGUUUUUGUAAGCACUACAUAAAAUUUGUUAGAGCGUUUAUCGAAAACGGUUUGACGAAUCAAUUUGAUUUGCAUAACUUUUGGUCAGCACUGCCUGAGGAUGAUAUGGUUUAAUUUUCGUGUGAAUCGGACAAACCGUCUAGGACGAGUUCGAAAAAGUAGGUUUUUAAAGAAAUUCAAAAUGGCGGUCAUAUUUCUAUGACGGAAAUGACUUCGUAGGGUGCAAUCGAAUCGGCAUGAGCUCAGAAAUCAGAAGAAAAAAGAAUUUCGUUGAUUGGCCUUAGGGUUAAAAAGUUAUUAACAAAAUUAAAGUGAAAUUUUGGACAGUUGGUGGCGCUAGAGGGAUUGACUUAGACACACCAAAAUUGGUGUACUUAAUGUUGGCACUGUCCUCUAUCAGAAUGUCAAACCAUUACAACUUUCCCGCAUUCGGUUCUAUGGGCUGCCAUAGACGCCCAGUCGGAAGAAUAAUAAUAAUAAAUAUAGCUGCAAGCAGCAAUCACGGGGCCAAGCAUUCCAGCGGCAACAUCAGGAGCUAAGCAUAUGUAGCAUCAGACCAAAUGCAAUGAUGAAUAAUGAAAUUAAU